UACGUAGGGUGCAAGCGUUAAUCGGAAUUACUGGGCGUAAAGCGUGCGCAGGCGGUGAUGUAAGACAGGUGUGAAAUCCCCGGGCUUAACCUGGGAACUGCAUUUGUGACUGCAUAGCUAGAGUACGGGUAGAGGGGGAUGGAAUUCCGCGUGUAGCAGUGAAAUGCGUAGAUAUGCGGAGGAACACCGAUGGCGAAGGCAAUCCCCUGGACCUGUACUGACGCUCAUGCACGAAAGCGUGGGGAGCAAACAGGG
rnacentral:rRNA from 1 species